CCCGUUCUGAUGGAGCCCGCCGCGUGAGUGAAGAAGGGUUUCGGCUCGUAAAGCUCUGUUGGUAGUGAAGAAAGAUAGAGGUAGUAACUGGCCUUUAUUUGACGGUAAUUACUUAGAAAGUCACGGCUAACUACGUGCCAGCAGCCGCGGUAAUACGUAGGUGGCAAGCGUUGUCCGGAUUUAUUGGGCGUAAAGCGAGUGCAGGCGGUUCAAUAAGUCUGAUGUGAAAGCCUUCGGCUCAACCGGAGAAUUGCAUCAGAAACUGUUGAACUUGAGUGCAAAAGAGGAGAGUGGAACUCCAUGUGUAGCGGUGGAAUGCGUAGAUAUAUGGAAGAACACCAGUGGCGAAGGCGGCUCUCUGGUCUGCAACUGACGCUGAGGCUCGAAAGCAUGGGUAGCGAACAGGAUUAGAUACC
rnacentral:rRNA from 1 species